rnacentral:rRNA from 1 species
UGGGGAAUUUUGCGCAAUGGGGGAAACCCUGACGCAGCAACGCCGCGUGGAGGAUGAAGCCCCUUGGGGCGUAAACUCCUUUCGACCAAGACGAUAAUGACGGUACUGGUGGAAGAAGCACCGGCUAACUCUGUGCCAGCAGCCGCGGUAAUACGGAGGGUGCGAGCGUUGUUCGGAAUUAUUGGGCGUAAAGGGCGCGUAGGCGGUGCCACAAGUCACCUGUGAAAUCCCCGGGGCUUAACUCGGGGCCUGCAGGCGAAACUGUGGUGCUGGAGUAUGGUAGAGGUGCGUGGAAUUCCCGGUGUAGCGGUGAGAUGCGUAGAUAUCGGGAGGAACACCUGUGGCGAAAGCGGCGCACUGGACCAUAACUGACGCUGAGGCGCGAAAGCUAGGGGAGCAAACAGGAUUAGAUACC